UGGGGAAUUUUGGACAAUGGGCGAAAGCCUGAUCCAGCAAUGCCGCGUGUGUGAAGAAGGCCUUCGGGUUGUAAAGCACUUUUGUCCGGAAAGAAAUCCUCUGGGUUAAUACCUCGGGGGGAUGACGGUACCGGAAGAAUAAGCACCGGCUAACUACGUGCCAGCAGCCGCGGUAAUACGUAGGGUGCAAGCGUUAAUCGGAAUUACUGGGCGUAAAGCGUGCGCAGGCGGUUUUGUAAGACGGAUGUGAAAUCCCCGGGCUUAACCUGGGAACUGCAUUCGUGACUGCAAGGCUAGAGUAUGGCAGAGGGGGGUAGAAUUCCACGUGUAGCAGUGAAAUGCGUAGAGAUGUGGAGGAAUACCGAUGGCGAAGGCAGCCCCCUGGGCCAAUACUGACGCUCAUGCACGAAAGCGUGGGGAGCAAACAGGAUUAGAUACUCUGGUAGUCCACGCCCUAAACGAUGUCAACUAGUUGUUGGGGAUUCAUUUCCUUAGUAACGUAGCUAACGCGUGAAGUUGACCGCCUGGGGAGUACGGUCGCAAGAUUAAAACUCAAAUGAAUUGACGGGG
rnacentral:rRNA from 1 species